rnacentral:rRNA from 1 species
AAUGAACGCUGGCGGCGUGCUUCAGACAUGCAAGUCGUACGCGAAAGUCCGCAAGGAUGAGUAAAGUGGCGCACGGGUGAGUAAUACUUAGGUAACGCGCCCUCUCGCUGGGAAUAACUAGACGAAAGUUUAGCUAAUACCGAAUAGUCCGUUUGAAACUGCGGUUUCGAUCGGUAAAGUCGUAAGACGCGAGAGGAGUG